ACCGCUCGGUCCUGACUCUGAUACCAUUUGUAAUAUCUCAAGCCCACCACUAGCAGAUGAAAAUCAAUAUCCAGCCUUACGCCUUAACAUGACUAUUAAUGGUUGAUUACCCGACUCACACUGUGUGUAACCCUUAUCUUGAUAACUAUUGACAAGUAUGGUUGGUUACCCGAUUCACACAGUGUGUUAUCCUUACCUUGAUAACCAUUUUCUACAAUCACCCCAUAUAGAGACGAAUAGUGGUUGGUUACCUAAUUCACACCGCAUGUAACACUUACCACAUGAAAAUCAACAUCCCUCCUAUUCCUUAAAAUGAUUAUCAAUGGCUGGGUUGUCAUCUUCGAGAUGGGAGCUAGCUGGGUUGGAGGAAACUCGUAUGGCUGCGGUGAAGGAGUGAUAUGUUACAGGUUUUCAAAGAAUUACACUCUUAUUAGCCAAUUAUUACUCAGUUACAGUGAUAGCUGUAGAUAUAUCGGCUGUGAUUAUGUCAUACUGAGACAAGAAUCGACCUUUUCUUGAAUAAUAUCUUUUGCUGACUUUAUUUUUCUUCCCCAUGAAAGCAGUAACGGUUCAAUUAUGCAGUUUGGCCGUAGAAGUUGAAUGAGGAGAAAAGCAUGAAGCUUAUUGGAGAGCAGAAUCAGGAAACUUCUAGUCUUCACUAGAAAGAAUGAGCCCAGGAUUUCGUCAGAACCGUACAAAAAAGAAAGCAGCCAUUGGUCUAAACUCACUGCUCUGGUUCAAAGGACAUAGUCAAUGUUCUACACAGUCAAUCAGUGAAAAGUAUGCAGGGUUUGAUUUUAUCAGUUUUCGUUGUUGAAACAAUUGGCCACAACUCUGCGUUAUGUCAAUGACUGGGUGGGAUGAAAAAAGAUAGGCUAGAUUAUAGAACUAAUUGUUAAUUUUGCCAAUACCGUAACGGAUUUAUGGAUAGAUAGUGAAAGUGGGCAAAGCAAAGCCAGUAUCUCAGUCAUCUGUUCUACGUCAUUGCCUUAUUGAUUAUUCAUUCGAUGUUCUACGUUGUUCUUUUAGAUUUAAUCUAGUAAGUGUCUCAGUCAUCUGUUCUAUAUCACUACCGUAUUGAUUAUUCAUGUUAGCAUUAUCACUUUUGAUA